CCUUGUACAGCGGGCCUGCCGGGCCAGGCUGGUCCUUGGCUUGGCUGCAGUCUCUGAUGCUGCUGAGUUUCACCAGAGACUGCUGAGUAAGGGGAGGGAAAGCUAUUGGCCUGCAGCGUGCUGAGAUCGUGGCCACACUCCCCCAGAGCAGCCAUGGAAAAAAAUCUUCCAUUGCAGACAACCCCAGCCACUGCUCCGACAGAGAUCACAGGACCAUCCACAUAGCCUGGACCUAAACUCUAGAAACUGCAACUGGCACCAGCCCAGCCCUGCAUCUGGCCUUCAUUUCUCAUCUGAAAAAUACAGAUACUCCAUUCAUCCCACAGAAGCCCAGACAUCAAAAAAAUGGGAAACAUUAUUUGCCUUCAGCAGAUUGCCUCCUUAUUGCCCUUGGAUUAUCAUGGAUGGAAAUGGAUUACAUCAGUCUGCUUCCCUGGAGAGUCAUGGAGCCUCUCUCACGUGUUUUGUUGGCCAAAGCCCAUCUGCCAGCAGAUAGUACCAAGCCAGCUCUCAGCAAGAACAGCUCUGUAAAGCUUGUUUACAAGAGUUCUAGUCUAAAAGUUUGACAAGAAGUACAAAUUUUAGUUAAAAAAUA